rnacentral:rRNA from 1 species
ACAUGCAUACAAUAUAGCGUUAAUGCACCAGAUCCCAUUAGAAAUUCACAGUUAAGAGUGCUUAGGCUAGAGUAGUAUUGGGAUGGGUGAUCGCCCGAGAAGUCCUAGUGUUUUACGUGCC